ACUCAGCAGUGCUCUGUUCCUUUGGGAGACGGACAGAAAGACACACAGAAAGACACACGCAAACACACACACACACACACACACACACACACACACACACACACACACACACACACACACACAGAGUUGGUGGUUGUGCCGCCCUGAGCCUCCAAUCAGCCAGUGUGAGGAAGGGACCAGAUGGGUUGGGCAGAAAGGUGCUGGGUCAAGGGAGGAGGGGGAAGCCGGGGGCGCGCGCACGCUCUGGACUCCUUCACCCGCCAAAACGGAUUCGCUCGGGGCACGCCGGGUUGAGCGGCGAGGGGCGACCGGGACUGGGACAGGGAUGCGGGCAGCCCUUUCCUAGGCGGUAGCGGGGGCGGUGGUGCUGUUGCCCUUUUAAACUGUGGCUUGACAGGAGCCGCGCCUCCCGUCGGUGGAGUCGGUUACAAUGGGAGCAGCUCCACAGGCCUCCACACAGCUCCUGCCAAGGCCUCCUCCGUGCCUCUUGCCAUUUUCCAGCCGCGCUCCCAGGAGGGUGGAGGCGGCGGCGAGCGGCGAAGCUGGGAGAGCUCUGCAGGGGGGCCCCGCGGGGUGGUCGCGGCCAUGACAGCGGCUCCGGACAGUCUCCGGUUCCGCGCCCCUCCCGCCUGAGAUGAGUGGAAGAUGUCAGUGUCCCGGCUCAAGGCCAAACUGAAGUUGCUGGCAUCUGUCUUCCACAAGAACCAGGAGCCCGCAGCCGCCGGCUCACGCUCCACUGCAACAUGACGAAUGGGGCAACAGAAGAAGUGACUUCAGAGGAAGAGGAAGAAAAGGAGAUGGCUGAAGUAGGAUAAGAAAGGCAUUUCAUAAAUGUUGUCAUUUUUGAUUUGAGACAUAGAAGACUGAGAUCACUGUGAGAUGAAAGAAGAGCCUAUUAGUGGGAAAAAGUUGGAGGAUGAAGGAACUGAAAAAGAACAUUUGGCAGUAGUAGAGAAAAUUAGGAAGACUGAAAGGCAAGACCAUUUAAAUGUGGUUGACCCUGAUAGUCCUUUGCACAGUGAUCUUCAGAUCUUAAAAGAAAAAGAAGGCUUGGGAGAUAUUUUGCUGAACUUAUCUUUUAAGGAUAACUUUCCAGUUGAUCCUCCAUUUGUUUGAGUGGUGUUACCUGUUCUCUCAGGAGGGUAAGUGUAAGUGAUUAUUUUUAUUUAUUUAUUUAUUUUUAUUUUUUUAUAGAGAUGAGGUCUCACUAUGUUGCCCUGGCUGUUCUUGAACUGCUGGGCUCAAGCGAUCCUCCCACCUUGCCCUCCCAAAGUGCUGGGAUGACAGGUGUGAGCUGCUGUGCCUGGUUUACUUAUUAUUAUUUUUUAACAUAGUGUACACCAGAAUUCAUUUGGAGAGCUAGUCCCAGGGUUUCUGAUUCAGUAGGUCUGUGGUGGGACCUGACCAUUUACAUUUUUUAGAAGUUACCAGGUGAAGUUGAUGCUAUUGAUCUGGGGCCCACAUCUGGAACCAUUAUAAAGCAUUAUGUUGCUGAUAUGUAGAGUUUUUAGUGACUCAUACACACACACACACACACACACACACACACACACACACGUAUAUAUAAACACAUACUUUUUUUGUCAUAAAAACCGAGUGUUUUUCAAAUGUAAAUUGUGAUUGGGGGUUUAGAGAAUGUUACGAUUACAGAGUGGUCACCACAUGCCUGUGAUCCUAAUUAUACUUCUAGGAAUCAUUAUGGGAAAUCUCAUAGAUGUAAGGAGCUGGCUAAUUACUUCUUGAGGUGAUAGUUGCAGUUUAGUAGAAUCCAAUGGUAAUUGUCUUGCAGUUUUACUGAAGUUUGUAUUGCUUCUUUUUUGUGGUUGGAAGUCUUACGGAAGUGGGGAAAAGAUCACAGUUUGCUAGGUUAGUUAUGAAAUGUUCUGUAGACCCUCAAAAUAUGAGCAAUUUAAAGUAACUUGAGGAUUUUGAAACACUCAGUUGACUAAUUCUAUUAUGUGACAUAAUCUACAUUAUGGUGAUUAAAAUCUAAAUAUAUCCAGCCCUUACUUUUUGAUGAUUUCUAUGGUUGAGAUAGUAAUAGUUGCAUUUUUGGUAAAAAUAUGAGUGACUAUUUCAGACUUCAGAACUUUCUCCAGAAGAGCUUUGUUCCCACAGUUAUUUUUAGUUGUAUUUGCUUUACAUGCUUAUAUAUGUGUUUUGGGGGCUAACAUCAAGAAUCAUUUCUGUGUAAUCAGAAUAUGUAUUAACUGUGGUGUUGAUACUACAGAAUAGUUAUCUGGACGUUAUAUCCAUCUGUAAAAGCUCAGAGAGACAAAAAGUGUUUUUUCCUUUUUUUAAACCCUUAGUAUUACAUAUGGAUGUGCUGAGUUCAUUUUGAGUUCUACCACACAGUAAAGUAAUAUUGUUUUAUUCAUUCAUUCAUUCAUUCAUUGAGGCAGAGUCUUGCUGUGUUGCUCAGGCUGAAGUGAG
rnacentral:lncRNA from 10 species